GAAAAUCAUUGUGGUCGGAUGAUUCUCCGGUUUAGGACAUACAAUAAUAAUAUUGUUAUAUGCAGUUAAUCGUUAAAAUGGCGAAAUGGCGGGAAGAAUUUCAUUAGAUAUAUAAAAAUUUCAAAUUUCAAUGGAUGCCAAUGAAAUUAAAAUGGCUUCGACGAAUGGUACUGACAACUUUUAUGAAGAUUUUUUCUGUGUUUGGUGAAAAUUAUUUGUGACCGCGCGCAAUGCGGUUAAUAGAAUAUAUUUGUUGUAACAAUAUUUUUAAUAUUUUUUUUUAAUAUAACGAUUUUAAUUAAAUUCAAUAAUCA